ACAGUGCUUGUGAGUGGGCAAGCAGUGAUGUGUUUCUGCUGAGAAGAGCUGCUUCACACCCAGGAAACAACUGUAAGACACUUUCUCAGCAACUAUGUUGUGUGUACAUUAAUACGAACUUGAAAACAGCCAAGAACAGGAUUCCUGGACUACUCAGGCUAACUCACUGUCCUUGGCACAUCAUUCCCUGCUCUGCAAUAAGUUUCUGGCAAGUGUCACUGAAGACUGUGUGUCCUCAGAAUCAACUGAACUCACCCAGGCCUGCAUGGAGUUCUGGGAUCCUGGCUUCAGGCUGAACAUUGCCUGCUGUUGUGAGCAUUUGGGUGUGUACCAGAAAAUGGAAGAAAUCUCUCUCCCUCUCCAUCUC